UACGGAGGAUGCAAGCGUUAUCCGGAUUUAUUGGGCUUAAAGGGUGCGCAGGCGGCUUGUUAAGCGUGAGGUGAAACGUCCGGGCUCAACCUGGAAAGUGCCUCGCGAACUGGCUGGCUCGAAUGCCCCUGCCGUGGGAGGAAUGUGUGGUGUAGCGGUGAAAUGCAUAGAGAUCACACAGAACACCGAUUGAAGGCAUCUCACGAAGGGGUGAUUGACGCUGAGGCACGAAAGCGUGGGGAUCAAACAG
rnacentral:rRNA from 1 species